AUUUCCCCACAACUUGGUGUAAAACAGCAAACAUCUAUUACCUCUGGGUUUCUGUGGGCAAGAAUUUAGGAGUAACUUAGUCGGGUGGUCCUGGCUCCAGAUGGCUCAGGAGGAAGCAGUUAAGGCAUCCGAGGCUGGACCGGGGCGGGAGGAGCUGCUCGCGUGGGUGCCCUCGUGUAGGGGCCUCGGGGGCCACUUUUCAUCUCUGCAGGUGGACACCAUGGGUCUUUCGUGACCUUUCCCCAGAAGUGUCUCCAUCAUCACCUCGUCCACACCUGUCAGAAGCACGAACCCACAUCCAAUCCUCACUCCAAGGGAGGAGAACUUGGGAAGAGUCUCAGACCUUGCAGACAUGUUAACCCAUCACAUGAAGGUCACAAAAAUGACCAGGUACAGAAGGACCUGUGGCACACAGUCCGUUCUCUCCCUCCCGCCCAGUUCUGGAAAAUUCUAGAAACAGUGUGCGCAUACAUGCGCAUUUGUGAACACAGCCGUUCCGUCAGUCUGCCGUUACAAAACACCAGACUGGGUGGCUCAAGCAACAGGAUAAAAAUGUUCUGGCAGGGCUUGUUUCUAGGAAGUUCCUGCUUCCCGAGUUGCAGACUGCCAGCUGCCUUCUUGCUGUGUCCUCACGUGGCCUUUCCUCAGUGCACCUGUGCAGGGAGGGAGGGACAGCAAGUCCCUGAGGACGCAAACCCUAUCUGGACAGGGCCUGACCCUUCUGACCUUGCUUUCCCCACAUCACACCCUGGGGCCCAUCUCCAGCAGCCACGCUCGGGACUGGAGCUUUAGCACAGAAUUGACGUGGCGGAGGACACGUUUGGAACCGCCGCGCGUUUCAACUCAAGUACUGGCGUUCGUGGUCCCCUCUUCUGCACGUCAUCUUUUUAGCCAGGGCACAUUUCCUGGGGCCCGUAGCACCGCAGACGAUGUCUGCGGCUGUGAGGUGGGCGCCUCGUUACCAACACUUAACUGGUCUGUUAAAUCCUGUCGAUGCCGCCGUAACAACACCUGUGUCACAGUGUCACUGCAGACACGUAUAAAUAAUGUCUGUCGCUUAAA